GAUGAAGAACGUAGCGAAAUGCGAUAAGUAGUGUGAAUUGCAGAAUUCAGUGAAUCAUCGAAUCUUUGAACGCACAUUGCGCCCCUUGGUAUUCCAUGGGGCAUGCCUGUUCGAGCGUCAUUUGUACCCUCAAGCUUUGCUUGGUGUUGAGCGUCUUGUCUCUAGCUUUGCUGGAGACUCGCCUUAAAGUAAUUGGCAGCCGGCCUACUGGUUUCGGAGCGCAGCACAAGUCGCACUCUCUAUCAGCAAAGGUCUAGCAUCCAUUAAGCCUUUUUUUUCAACUUUUGACCUCGGAUCAGGUAGGGAUACCCGCUGAACUUAAGCAUAUCAAUAAGCGGAGGA
rnacentral:misc_RNA from 1 species